AGAGUUUGAUCAUGGCUCAGAGCGAACGCUGGCGGCGUGCUUAACACAUGCAAGUCGAGUGCGCGGCCGUAGCAAUACGGCUGGCGCACGGCGCACGGGUGCGUAACACGUGGGCAAUCUGCCCUCGGAUGGGGGAUAACCCCGCGAAAGCGGGGCUAAUACCGCAUGACAUUCCGGAAACAUCGGUUUCUGGAUUCAAA
rnacentral:rRNA from 1 species